UGUGGGAGCGAGCUUGCUCGCGAUGGCGUCGGCUCAGCAGCAUCCUUGUUGGCUGACACACCGCCAUCGCGAGCAAGCUCGCUCCCACA
rnacentral:misc_RNA from 1 species